rnacentral:rRNA from 1 species
CCAAUAGCGUAUAUUAAAGUUGUUGCAGUUAAAAAGCUCGUAGUUGAAUUUUGGAUUCUUCCAAUUGGUCCAUCUUUUAGAUGAGUACUGGUUGUGUGGGGUCUAUCCGCCUGGUGAUACGUAAUGUCCUUUAUUGGAUGUUGCGGGUAGUCAGGACCUUUACCUUGAAAAAAUUAGAGUGUUUAAAGCAGGCUUAUGCCGGAAUACAUUAGCAUGGAAUAAUAGAAUAGGACGAAGUUGUUUUAUUUUGUUGGUUUCUAGGACAACCGUAAUGAUUAAUAGGGUUAGUUGGGGGCAUUAGUAUUCAAUUGUCAGAGGUGAAAUUCUUGAAUUUAUUGAAGACUAACUACUGCGAAAGCAUUUGCCAAGGAUGUUUUCAUUAAUCAAGAACGAAAGUUAGGGGAUCGAAGACGAUCAGAUACCGUCGUAGUCUUAACCAUAAACUAUGCCGACUAGGGAUCGGGCGAUGUUGUUUCCAUGACUCGCUCGGCACCUUAUG